UCUCAAAAAUUGUGUGAAACAAAAGGAGUGGAUGGUGAGAGUAACCGAAAUCGAUCAACUAAUGUCAGAAAAGAGAUGAAUGGUCAUCUUGAGAAAACCGUCAAAAACUCUGCUGCAGCUAAUGUCACAAAUGGAAAAAAAGUUGAUGUCAAAAUCAUUAAAGGAAGUGCAAAAAAUUCAAAUGAAUUUCUAACAAUCGCUAACCACCUCACUUACAAGUAUACAAAUUAAUAGAGGCACCAAACUGCGAGAAAAUGCAUUGUUAUGCAGUUGUAACAGAAACUGGGACUCCACAUGCAGGUCCAACAAAAAACGUUCUCAGGAUAAAGGUAACAGAUGACUCUCUGGACGAACAAGACAUCAAAGUAUCAAUAUUCUAUGAAAAGGGUUGGGAAUCUCCGCUAAUAAGAAAACAUCAAAUAAUACGGUUUCAUCGACUCAGACUGGAAUUAUUCAAUGGAAACAGGGAUGGAUCUGUCAAUUCACAAGAUUUUAUGGUAUUUAAUCCAGAAGAGUGUGAUGCAACUGCUAAAAAAAUUAGAGGAACAUCAUGGGCGAAAAAGUAUGUCACAUUUACAGAGGAAGAUGCUGAUAUAAUUUUCAAGAUGAAAGAAUGGAUAAAUUCAAAUCUAGAGGCUGAAGCUGAGACACAGUCACCUAAACACAAUGAAAAUGACAUGAUUUUGACACUAGAAGAAAAUGUUCCUGUUAUUGAUAAUGCUGAAAAGUUGAUGCGUUAUUCGAAACCAUUGAUAAGAAGUUGUCCGCUGAAGAUUUUACAGACCUUGAAUACGAGUCUGUUUGUCACAUAUUUUGUCAGGUAAUGACAGUUUUCAAACUGGCACCAUGAAUUUUAUUUUUUUAUCUGAAGGUUUUACGUAGAAAAUAAGUUCGGUCAGCUUUUGUGUAAAGUCAUCAUUAGUCUCA
rnacentral:lncRNA from 1 species